CUGCUGGGAGGAUAGAACAGGCAUCUAUCACACCCUUGUGGUAUAAAGAGAUGCAGGAUAUGCCACCCUGCCUCAGCAG
rnacentral:ncRNA from 12 species